UCAAUUUUCCAUUGCAAGUUCUUCUUCAAAUUCUCACAAAAUAAGCUAUUCUAAUUGGAUGCCUAAAUUACCUAAUUAUGCGGAGAACCUUUUUGCUUGUUCGAAAUUAGACAGUGAACAUCAUUAUAAUCAUCACAAUAGUAAUAAUACACUCCUCCUAUGUUGGCUCAUGAAAAUAUGAUUUUUUGUUGUUUUUGAUCCUAACUUUACAAUUGUUGUGGCCACUGCUAUUUCUUAACUUAUACCAAGCUUCGUUGGAGAAUUUUCACAAACAGUUAAAGAGCAAAAAGUCACAUAAAUAAUGAAUUUGCAAAAGUAUGAUGCUGAUGCUUCUUUUAUCCCCAAACUGUCAAACUGUAGAACGAAAAAGUGAAAAAAAUACCCCACAAUUUAUUUUUCCCUAAAUUACUCUCACUGAAUAAGCUGAAAUUGAACUCAAAGGAAUCAUAAGUAAGCAGAUAAAGAGAAUUCCAAGUUUAAACAACAAACCUAAAAGCAGACUAACCAACACACAAAGAACAAACGAAGGAAAGAUAUA
rnacentral:lncRNA from 1 species